ACGCUCGACACCUACGGGAGGCAGUGGGGAAUAUUGCACAAUGGGGGAAACCCUGAUGCAGCGACGCCGCGUGAGCGAAGAAGUAUUUCGGUAUGUAAAGCUCUAUCAGCAGGGAAGAAACUGACGGUACCUGACUAAGAAGCACCGGCUAAAUACGUGCCACAGCCGCGGUAAUCUGAGCGGGCUGGCAAGGC
rnacentral:rRNA from 1 species